CCUACGGGAGGCAGCAGUGGGGAAUAUUGGACAAUGGGGGGAACCCUGAUCCAGCCAUGCCGCGUGUGUGAAGAAGGCCCUCGGGUUGUAAAGCACUUUCAGUGAGGAAGAACGCCUGGUGGUUAAUACCCAUCAGGAAAGACAUCACUCACAGAAGAAGCACCGGCUAACUCCGUGCCAGCAGCCGCGGUAAUACGGAGGGUGCGAGCGUUAAUCGGAAUUACUGGGCGUAAAGCGCGCGUAGGUGGCUUGAUAAGCCGGUUGUGAAAGCCCCGGGCUCAACCUGGGAACGGCAUCCGGAACUGUCAAGCUAGAGUGCAGGAGAGGAAGGUAGAAUUCCCGGUGUAGCGGUGAAAUGCGUAGAGAUCGGGAGGAAUACCAGUGGCGAAGGCGGCCUUCUGGACUGACACUGACACUGAGGUGCGAAAGCUUGGGUAGCAAACAGGAUUAGAUACCCGAGUAGUC
rnacentral:rRNA from 1 species